rnacentral:lncRNA from 1 species
GCUCCGCCCUAUUCAUGCAAAGCUCGGCAACAACCCUAUUUCUCUUUCAUUGCCUAGCUAACCAAUUCUAACUUCUAAGAUAAUGGUAUACGACACUUUUGAUUAUAUCAAAGUAGUUGUUUAAAAAAGUACCAAAAAGAAAAAGGGUGGGAACAGAAAAAUGCAAAUUAAAGAAAAAAUCAUGAAAAAUUUAAUCUUUUGGGUGAUCAGUAUUUACAAGUGUAAAUUGUAGUUGCAUCAUUAGAUCCUACCAAUGUCACUGUAUGUGAAGUUUCACAGUAUAGCAUGUGUGCAUAACUAAGUAUGGCAAAUGUACGAUCAAGCAUGAGAAUAGAUGGCUGUAUGAUCAAGCAUGCAUGCCUGGUCAGAUGAUUGAGAUGUAGCCCUACAAAGAGUUCCUCUCUCUUUCUUUGACAAGAAAUCAUAUUUGUCAAUGUGGAAAUUGUAUGAUUUGCAAAAAAAUAAAAAGUUGAAGUAAAUAAAAUCUCUUUAUGUAGAUUCCAUUCAAUGCAAUGCGUUUAUUUGGCUCAACUGAAGCCUUUAAAUAACAUCACUUUCCUUUGGAACAAAGAAAAAAAAGAGCCUACUUUAACAUAUAUGAAUUGUUUACAUCGAGCGAGGAAUGCCUUGACAACUUGGUAGACAGUCAGACUCUUAGUAAUUAUCUCUGUUUGACUGUUUUUCCCUCUCAUUAUAAUUUUCAAAUUUGUAGAGGUACAA